rnacentral:tRNA from 1 species
GGCAAGAUGGCCGAGUUGGUCCAAGGCGUCAGGUUAAGGUCUACCUUAAUACGCAGCUUCGCUUAAGCAAGCUUCCUGAUCAUCGUUUGAUGGCGUGGGUUCGAAUCCCACUCUUGUCA